UAAGGGCUGACUUCCACUGGGGAAGGAGCUCUGGUUGGAGAUCUUUCCUUGGUGGGGCUUUCCUCUGCAGACCUGGAAUCUUCUGAUACAGGAAGCCUCAGGCCCUUGUUGUCAAGAAAGCAAAUGGGGGAAGCAGCUGUCCCUUCUGGGAGGAGUUGCAUACAUUGAGAUGGUGCUGUGCUCAUUUGUAUUCAUACCUCUGACUCCUGCCUGGACAGAUUUUAACCCGUUUUAAGCCAACUAUUUGUGUUUUGUAACUCUAACCCAAAACAACGUGUGUUGGUGCAAGGAGAAAGAUGGAGCACAGAUGACAAACACAGCCUGAACGACCCAGUGCUUCAUUGCAGCCCAAAUCCAAGUGUUUCCACUUGGCCUUGGUGCCUUUGAAUCGCAGUUCUGAUGAAAGCAGCCUGCUGAAAAAUAAAAUGGGCAAGAUACCUCCGUUCUUAUGAUUAAGGCUUGGAAAAGUGGAGGGCUUCUGUGCUGAUGCUUUAUCUAAAGCUUAUCGGCGGGUUUAAGGUCAGGAUGCAAAACUAGGAAGCCUGCACAUUACUGUAACAGAUUCAAAGGGAACUCUGUAGUGUGUAAAUGCAUCUAAUCCAUACUGCAUUCAUCAAGGAUUAGGUACAGGGAGUGGAAAAGAGCAAGGACAAAAGGGAAGGCAAAGUCUUUGGCAGAAGAGAUUAAAAUGGAUUUCCAGCAUGCAGACCAUCAGCUGUGCCACAAACGACAGUAUUCUCUUCAGUGCCAGCACUCACUCCCUGCUUUGCUGCACCUUAUUUUUCCUGUUUGGAACAUUCAGGACAAAGUGAGAGAGCAUUAAAGCAUACCUUCAUUCAGAUGGCAUGCCCACCUUCCAGAGGAACUCCAAUCAAUGGAAGCUGCAGCUGCUCAGGCUCUCUUACCUUCAUAGCAAAAGCACCUUUGUGGGAAAUGCUGCAAGGCCGUGGGGCUGCAGAGCAGCUUUCUGCUGUCGUUCUGAGCUGCUCU